UGCAGCCAGACGAUGCAUGAGCCUACCUGAUGGACUUCAAGGACUUCACAGAAUUGUUAAAGUAAGACUAUUAAACAACAACCAGCAUUUAAACAAUAUCAGAUCAGAUCUUCGGCCCUAACACUGAAGCUACAAAUUAACCACGAAAAGCACAUAAAAUACCCACAGCGACUGCUGGAGAACAACAUUCAGAAUGAAUAUGAACUCUCUCCAUUGCAAAUAUACAGUAGUUGGAAAUCAAAUAAAGAACCAAUGCAGUUAAAUAACCAUGUUUUCGAUCCAGAACAAUUAGGGUGCAGUUAACUUUACCAUUUUUCUCUAUGAUGUGGGUGGCAGUGAAUCUAUUCUUAUUGAGCCACGAGUCUUUUUCUAAGUGAGCUGUUACUAAUAGCCUUGAAAGAAGAUUAAAUGCAACAUGUUAAAUAUUACAAUUAUUGUGGAAAACAAAAUUAUUUGGUGAACAUAAUGGGGAGCAAAUCAAGCAUUUAACAUG